rnacentral:rRNA from 1 species
GAUGAACGCUGGCGGCGUGCCUAAUACAUGCAAGUCGAGCGAACGGACGAGAAGCUUGCUUCUCUGAUGUUAGCGGCGGACGGGUGAGUAACACGUGGAUAACCUACCUAUAAGACUGGGAUAAUUUCGGGAAACCGGAGCUAAUACCGGAUAAUAUUUUGAACCGCAUGGUUCAAAAGUGAAAGACGGUCUUGCGGUCACUUAUAGAUGGAUCCGCGCUGCAUUAGCUAGUUGGUAAGGUAACGGCUUACCAAGGCAACGAGGCAUAGCCGACCUGAGAGGCUGAUAGGCCGCCCUGGAGCGGGAACAGGGACCAGAGUACUGAGGGAGGGAGCAGUAGGGAAUCUUCCGCAAUGGGCGAAAGUCUGACGGAGCAACGCCGCGUGAGUGAUGAAGGUCUUCGGAUCGUAAAAACCUGCUAUUAGGGAAGAACAGAUGUGUAAGUAACUGUGCACAGCGUGACGGUAACUAAUCAGAAAGCCACGGCUAACUACGUG